rnacentral:piRNA from 1 species
UCUGAGGGUCUUAGGUGUUGCACACGC